rnacentral:rRNA from 1 species
AUUGAACGCUGGCGGCAGGCUUAACACAUGCAAGUCGAGCGGAGAUGAGGUGCUUGCACCUUAUCUUAGCGGCGGACGGGUGAGUAAUGCUUAGGAAUCUGCCUAUUAGUGGGGGACAACAUUCCGAAAGGAAUGCUAAUACCGCAUACGCCCUACGGGGGAAAGCAGGGGAUCUUCGGACCUUGCGCUAAUAGAUGAGCCUAAGUCGGAUUAGCUAGUUGGUGGGGUAAAGGCCUACCAAGGCGACGAUCUGUAGCGGGUCGGAGAGGAUGGUCCGCCACACUGGGACUGAGACACGGCCCAGACUCCUACGGGAGGCAGCAGUGGGGAAUAUUGGACAAUGGGCGGAAGCUUGAUCCAGCCAUGCCGCGUGUGUGGAGAAGGCCUUUUGGUUGUAAAGCACUUUAAGCGAGGAGGAGGCUACCUGGAUUAAUACUCUAGGAUAGUGGACGUUGCUCGCAGAAUAAGCACCGGCUAACUCUGUGCCAGCAGCCGCCGUAAGAC